rnacentral:lncRNA from 1 species
GGAGCUGUCCCGACCAUGUAGAUGCCAGCCCCAGGGAUGAUCAGCAUGGGCCCCACUGAAUGGAGACUCCUGGGUCAGCAUUCCUGAGCCUGUUCGGCCCCUGGACCUCACCCCACUCCUGGGGACACUCCUCAGAGCUCUCCAGUGCUGUCGCCAGCCCACCUCAGCCAUCGCCUCCUCCUGGGACUGGAAGUUGGCCUCCUGGAGCUAAUACCCUCUGGUGAGGGUGUACUGAGGACAGCCACACACAGCCAUCACCCACAGGCCCCUUUUCCAGUGCUGACCCUCAUGAAAGCUCGCUCACAGGGGAGUCUGACCAGGUGCGCAAGUCUGUGGAUAAGGACCCUAUGUUGCUGUCAGGAACUCAUGUGAUGGAAGGCUCAGGACGGAUGGUGGUGACUGCUGUGGGUGUCAACUCUCAAACUGGCAUCAUAUUUACCCUGCUUGGGGCUGGUGGUGAAGAGGAAGAGAAGAAAGACAAAAA